CUGACCGCGAACUGCGCAUUUUAAAGGAGGACUGCCUAUUCGCUACCAUCUUCCGGGUUCAAUUGCGAUGUGCACUGGCCACUUCCUGGGUUUACUCGUUUUGGUUUUCUUCAGCGUGAUUUCGGCUGAGCAGUUAAAGCUUCAACCCGCUUUGAUUCCCUGAGCUCCUGGAAGGUGGACGCUACCUAAGGGUCAAACUCGGCAUAUCUGCGUCUAUCACUAGACUGCCAUGACAAUGGGAAGUGGAUAUUACUUAGCGCUACUGGUGCUUGCACGAUCACUCUGUUUAUCUGAACAAGGUGGAAAUCCAAAGGCAGUGCAAGAUUUGAGAAGAACGUGGAAGUACAGUUGCGAGAUGCCCCUUAUGGAACCAGUGGGGGACUGUACUGCCCAGAUAAAUAAGUAUUUCUUUAAUGAUACUGCUAACAUGUGCCAGAAGUUCUACUGGAAUGGCUGCUUGACUAGAGGCGUCUACCAAACCCGCUUCGAAUGCGCAUUGAGCUGCAACGUAGGAGAACAAGCCGCAUUUUGCGGACUACCCCCACCUACUGAUUGCGCUGAAGACUCGGAAUCUCAAAAUAGAGGACAUGCCUAUGAACUGGCCGCUUAUUAUUACCAUACCCAGUCAAGGACAUGUAACUCCUUCAAGUACUGUGGGCGACCACUUGGACCAGACUCAAAUUUUUUCACCAGCUUGACAAUGUGCAUAAUGGAAUGCGAGGGGUUCCCUUUCGGCGAGUAGGAGCUCCACUAAAAGUGGGUCUUCUAAUCCUUGGUGGAACACAGAGUGCUCACGCGAUUACAAGAUAAGGAAAUCAGCGUUGCGAAAACUAAUUCAUAACCAGUUUCCCAGCAAUUGGAGAGACUAUAAGCUCGCGGCACCAACACUUAAAAGAACAGUUGCAAAUGCGAAAGACCGCUUUGAUUGCAAGUACUUCGACUUUCCUUCAAAGGCCACCAACAGAAAAGCACUCUUUCGAUUUCUGAGAAUGAAAAAGGCCAUUCCAGCAUAAAUAAACGUCGCCUAUGUGGUUCCAACACCCUGCGAAUUGUCCAAAUUACUAGAGGAUAUCGCUAAAGGUCUAUAAUGUCGCUUUAAGUCGAUUUUGCCCUAUCAGGCUACGCCGCUUACUCAUGGUGAAGACCUCGAGAAGUUCGUGAAAAAUAUACGAAGCCAGCUCCCUAAUUCAGUGGCAGGUCCCAAUGGCAUUACUACGGCAAUAAUAAAAACUUU